AACGAACGCUGGCGGCAGGCCUAACACAUGCAAGUCGAGCGCCCUGCAAGGGGAGCGGCGGACGGGUGAGUAACGCGUGGGAAUUUUUCCUGGAGUACGGAACAACCGAGGGAAACUUCGGCUAAUACCGUAUGAUGCCGAGAGGCCAAAGAUUUAUCGCUUUGGGGUGAGCCCGCGUCAGAUUAGGUAGUUGGUGGGGUAAAGGCCUACCAAGCCUGCGAUCUGUAGCUGGUCUGAGAGGACGAUCAGCCACACUGGGACUGAGACACGGCCCAGACUCCUACGGGAGGCAGCAGUGGGGAAUCUUGCGCAAUGGGCGAAAGCCUGACGCAGCCAUGCCGCGUGAGUGAAGAAGGUCUUAGGAUUGUAAAGCUCUUUCGCUCGUGACGAUGAUGACGGU
rnacentral:rRNA from 1 species